rnacentral:rRNA from 1 species
GGCCUAACACCAUGCAAGUCCGAACCGAUGAUCUCCAGCUUGCUGGGGGGAUUAGUGGCGAACGGGUGAGUAACACGUGAGUAACCUGCCCUUGACUCUGGGAUAAGCCUGGGAAACUGGGUCUAAUACCGGAUAUGACUGCUCCGCGCAUGCGGUGGUGGUGGAAAGCUUUUGCGGUUUUGGAUGGACUCGCGGCCUAUCAGCUUGUUGGUGGGGUAAUGGCCUACCAAGGCGACGACGGGUAGCCGGCCUGAGAGGGUGACCGGCCACACUGGGACUGAGACACGGCCCAGACUCCUACGGGAGGCAGCAGUGGGGAAUAUUGCACAAUGGGCGAAAGCCUGAUGCAGCGACGCCGCGUGAGGGAUGACGGCCUUCGGGUUGUAAACCUCUUUCAGUAGGGAAGAAGCGUAAGUGACGGUACCUGCAGAAGAAGCGCCGGCUAACUACGUGCCAGCAGCCGCGGUAAUACGUAGGGCGCAAGCGUUAUCCGGAAUUAUUGGGCGUAAAGAGCUCGUAGGCGGUUUGUCGCGUCUGCUGUGAAAGACCGGGGCUCAACUCCGGUUCUGCAGUGGGUACGGGCAGACUAGAGUGAUGUAGGGGAGACUGGAAUUCCUGGUGUAGCGGUGAAAUGCGCAGAUAUCAGGAGGAACACCGAUGGCGAAGGCAGGUCUCUGGGCAUUAACUGACGCUGAGGAGCGAAAGCAUGGGGAGCGAACAGGAUUAGAUACCCUGGUAGUCCAUGCCGUAAACGUUGGGCACUAGGUGUGGGGGACAUUCCACGUUUUCCGCGCCGUAGCUAACGCAUUAAGUKCCCCGCCUGGGGAGUACGGCCGCAAGGCUAAAACUCAAAGGAAUUGACGGGGGCCCGCACAAGCGGCGGAGCAUGCGGAUUAAUUCGAUGCAACGCGAAGAACCUUACCAAGGCUUGACAUGAACUAGUAAAGCGCAGAAAUGUGUUCCCCUCUUGAGGCUGGUUUACAGGUGGUGCAUGUGUCGUCAGCUCGUGUCGUGAGAUGU